AUUGAACGCUGGCGGCAUGCCUUACACAUGCAAGUCGAACGGUAACGGGUCCUUCGGGAUGCCGACGAGUGGCGAACGGGUGAGUAAUACAUCGGAACGUGUCCAGAAGAGGGGGAUAACGCAUCGAAAGAUGUGCUAAUACCGCAUAUGCUCUGAGGAGGAAAGUAGGGGAUCGAAAGACCUUACGCUUUUGGAGCGGCCGAUGUCUGAUUAGCUAGUUGGUGGGGUAAGGGCCUACCAAGGCGACGAUCAGUAGUUGGUCUGAGAGGACGACCAGCCACACUGGGACUGAGACACGGCCCAGACUCCUACGGGAGGCAGCAGUGGGGAAUUUUGGACAAUGGGCGCAAGCCUGAUCCAGCAAUGCCGCGUGAGUGAAGAAGGCCUUCGGUUGUAAGACUCUUUCUAGUCGAGAAGAAAGGACGUAGCAGUGAAGUAACUAGUAGUUUA
rnacentral:rRNA from 1 species